CCUACGGGAGGCAGCAGUGAGGAAUAUUGGUCAAUGGGCGAGAGCCUGAACCAGCCAAGUCGCGUGAAGGAUGACGGCCCUACGGGUUGUAAACUUCUUUUGUCAGGGAGCAAUUGGGUCCACGCGUGGGCUUAGCGAGAGUACCUGAAGAAAAAGCAUCGGCUAACUCCGUGCCAGCAGCCGCGGUAAUACGGAGGAUGCGAGCGGUAUCCGGAUUUAUUGGGUUAAGGGGGUGCGUAGGCGGAAUAUCAAGUCAGCGGGAAAAAUUCGGGGCUCAACCCCGUCGUGCCGUUGAAACUGGUGUUCUUGAGUGGGCGAGAAGUAUGCGGAAUGCGUGGUGUAGCGGUGAAAUGCAUAGAUAUCACGCAGAACUCCGAUUGCGAAGGCAGCAUACCGGCGCCCAACUGACGCUGAAGCACGAAAGCGUGGGUAUCGAACAGGAUUAGAUACCCCGGUAGUC
rnacentral:rRNA from 1 species